rnacentral:rRNA from 1 species
GAAACGACUGCUAAGACUGGAUAGGAAAAGUAAAGGCAUCUUUACUUUUUUAAAAGACCCUUCUUUGAAGGUAUGCUUAAGGAGGGGCUUGCGACACAUUAGUUAGUUGGCUGGGUAAAGGCCUACCAAGACUAUGAUGUGUAGCUGGACUGAGAGGUUGAACAGCCACAUUGGGGACUGAGACACGGCCCCAAACUCCUACGGGAGGCAGCAGUAGGGAAUUUUCGGCAAUGGAGGAAACUCUGACCGAGCAACGCCGCGUGAACGAUGAAGUACCUCGGUAUGUAAAGUUUUUUUAUUAAGGAAGAAAAAAGAGUGGAAAAACUCCCUUGACGGUACUUAAUGAAUAAGCCCCGGCUAAUUAUGUGCCAGCAGCCGCGGUAAUACAUAAGGGGCGAGCGUUAUCCGGAAUUAUUGGGCGUAAAGGGUGCGUAGGCGGUUUAAUAAGUCUAUAGUUUAAUUUCAGUGCUUAACGCUGUUGUGCUAUAGAAACUGUUUUACUAGAGUGAGUUAGAGGCAAGCGGAAUUCCAUGUGUAGCGGUAAAAUGCGUAAAUAUAUGGAGGAACACCAGAGGCGUAGGCGGCUUGCUGGGACUUUGCUGACGCUGAGGCACGAAAGCGUGGGGAGCAAACAGGAUUAGAUACCCUGGUAGUCCACGCCGUAAACGAUGAGUACUAAGUGUCGGGUAAAACCGGUACUGAAGUUAACACAUUAAGUACUCCGCCUGAGUAGUACGUACGCAAGUAUGAAACUUAAAGGAAUUGACGGGACUCCGCACAAGCGGUGGAUCAUGUUGUUUAAUUCGAAGAUACACGAAAAACCUUACCAGGUCUUGACAUUUUCUUGCGAAGUUAUAGAAAUAUAAUGGAGGUUAUCAGGAAAACAGGUGGUGCAUGGUUGUCGUCAGCUCGUGUCGUGAGAUGUUAGGUUAAGUCCUAAAACGAGCGCAACCCUUGUCGUUAAUUGCCAGCAUGUAAUGAUGGGGACUUUAACGAGACUGCCAAUGAAAAAUUGGAGGAAGGUGGGGAUUACGUCAAAUCAUCAUGCCCCUUAUGAUCUGGGCUACAAACGUGAUACAAUGGUUGAUACAAAGAGUAGCUGAAACGCGAGUUCUUAGCCAAUCUCACAAAAUCAAUCUCAGUUCGGAUUGAAGUCUGCAACUCGACUUCAUGAAGUUGGAAUCGCUAGUAAUCGCGAAUCAGCAUGUCGCGGUGAAUACGUUCUCGGGGUUUGUACACACCGCCCGUCA